rnacentral:lncRNA from 1 species
UCUCUUCAUUCUUACAAUCGUUAGCGUAUUGCUCCUUCUGUUGGUACCUAAAGCACAUCACUAACGUACUCACCAUUGCCUUCUUUGAAUUGCUCCCUUGGCUAUCAAUUACUUUGGACUUAGAAAAAUAAAGGGUCACUUCUUCAAAUUUCUUUUUGGACAAUUUCUUUGUCAUAGUUCAAAAUUUACAUAAACCAAUAUAGUAUACUUCCCUCGAGUAAGGCUAACAAUGUCCUGAUCUUAUCAACAUUGUCUUUGACGUCAUUAGCCAUGUGCCAAUGCUCUACUUCUUUGAGGAACCUCUUCAUAGUUCUUUUGUGCUCUGUACCUUGCCACUUCUUUGGUUGAUCUGUCUUCGCUCGAUAGGAGCUUAACUUGCUCUUUUGGCUCUUCAACAGCGUCUCUUUUUUCACAUCCUCCCAUACCACAAAAUCAAUUAGAAGUUGGUUCACCUCCAUCUUCUUCUCAAACUCCAUGUUCUUUUCUUCCAUCAUUGAAAUAAUCUUCUCAACUUUGAAUAGAGAGACAACCUCUUGUCUAUUCGUCUACAAAUUCAUUGAGUGGUUUGAAGUUUUGGACGUGGUUUGCCUUUGUGAUCUGAGAUUCUUAAUCACUCUUGUUUUCUUUGCUAAGAAGGUUAAGAGGAUCUAUUUCAAUCACAAGCCCUUCUAUGAUCUCUUCCAACUCCAUUUAAAUUUCUUCACCUCGUACUUCUAAGGGUUAGAUAUCUCUUCCUCAAGCACGGACUUCUUCUUGACUGCUCUUUGCCUAGGUCUAGGCUCGUGGCCUACUUGUAUUGACUGCAAGUCGGUGUCAAGGAUGUCUUCGUCUUCUACCCGUUGGAUCAAAGUCUUUGUGGUCUUCUUUUCCAUUCUCCAAAGCUUCACUUACCACGGGAUGAUCAAAAAUUUCUCCCAUGCACUUCUUGCCAAUUCCGGACUCAAAAGCUCUCAUACCACAUGUAGCAUCACUCCUAUUGAGAAACUUUACUCACUUGGGAAUCCCUCCAGAAACAACAUUAGAUUCAAACAAACACAAUACAGAAGUGUACAAAUGCUCUCACUCUCUCUCUCUCUGCAACCCACCUAGUCCAUCUGACCCUAAGCUGAGGAGAAAUGAGCAUCCAGCGCUCAAGCUUUCUUGAGGGUGCGUCACACUAAACCCUCACAAAGGUCAACAUCCACGGUCGUCACGGUGUCUUUGGUACUGGGCUGUCUUACUCGACGGGGCAACUCUCAUUGAUUCGCGUCGCCUCUUCACUUGAAGUGACAUGCCGCCAAUCCAACCGAUCUCCUCCUCAACUCGGAAUCAACAUCUGAGCUAUUCAUAGGAUGGACUAAGAAGACCGUCUCCUCUCCACUUUCUUCCCUAAAACUAAUUAGUCACUUCAACACUCAAGUGACCUACAGGUAAGGUACCGUGUACCACUAGGGCACCCCCCAAAUGAAGGUUCCCUUGGAUCGAGGGAGGUGGCCCUCCCAACCUCUCCUUUGCUACCUCGUCACGAGCAACCCUUGAAAAUUGAAUAGCUCUUAGUUGGCGUUCUGUUUUUGCAAGGGUCUGCCUUUUCAUACCCUUACAACCCUUGGGAAUUGCCUGAUAGCCCGAAUCAAACCCCACCACGUCACACCAUUGAUUCCAAGUCGCCGGUGGACACCUUGCAGGUGCUGUCCUUUGUUCUCAUCUUCACUUCGUAUGCUGCUUUAUGGAGCUCGAAUAUCAUCAAUUUCGGAGUCUAAAAGCUUCAGAGAGAAGAUUUCACGGUUGUCAGCUAGUUCCAUCGGAACCCGCAGAAUGAGACUCACUGAAACCCACACACCCGCGUGUUCGUCUAGUGGUAUCAGUCCACAUCGCAUCAGUUCACGAUUUCAAAUGUAGAAGUCCGCGAUCCUUUCGGCAGAUAUCUAGCUCGAACUGGUUCCUCAUAGAACUGAAUUACUGCAGCAAGUGAGGACCCAACAGGUAGCGAAUCCACUCAGAUGGCUCUGACACGCUUCGGAGACAGGGGCAUCCGUGUGAACGAUGCCAGAUCACGACGACGUGGUCGCUUUCAUUUAAGAUGCCACUGCAGUACAACUCUGGUUGGUGCGGUCGAGCUGCAGUUUCUAGACUUUCAGGAACUAGAGCACCUGCAUCCUCCUCGCUUUGCAGGCAGAUGAUAAGCGCCUCCUCGAGACCACGCGUCCAUUAAAUCUUAGGUUUCUAUUUAUAUAUAUAUAUAUAUAUAUAGAUAAGUGGAUAUUUUCUUUUUCUUCUGUAGCACUGCUGCUACUUCUACAUCUUCUGUAAUGAUUUAGGC